UGGGGAAUUUUCCGCAAUGGGCGCAAGCCUGACGGAGCAAUACCGCGUGGGGGAGGAAGGCUUUUGGGUUGUAAACCUCUUUUCUCAAGGAAGAAGCACUGACGGUACUUGAGGAAUCAGCAUCGGCUAACUCCGUGCCAGCAGCCGCGGUAAUACGGAGGAUGCAAGCGUUAUCCGGAAUAAUUGGGCGUAAAGCGUUCGUAGGUGGUUUUGUAAGUCUGCUGUUAAAGCGUGUAGCUCAACUACAUAUAGGCGGUGGAAACUACAAAACUAGAGUGCGUUCGGGGCAGAGGGAAUUCCUGGUGUAGCGGUGAAAUGCGUAGAUAUCAGGAAGAACACCGGUGGCGAAGGCGCUCUGCUAGGCCGCAACUGACACUGAGGGACGAAAGCUAGGGGAGCGAAUGGGAUUAGAUACCCCCGUAGUCC
rnacentral:rRNA from 1 species